GGUGGACCCAAUGGAAAGGGAGGGGGUUUGUCUUUCAGAUCAAACCUUACAAACAGCAAUUUUCUAUUUGUUCAAAACAGAUGUUAGGACCAUUUUCCCUCCCCAGUGCCACUUUAAGGGGCUUUUAGGGAUGACCACUGAGAGUCUGAGAUGUUCUGAGCAACACUGCCUCAUCUUUCAUCCAAAGUUGGCUGGCAAAGGAUCCAUGAGACUAUGCAAAGCACUCACCAGUGUUCCCAUGUUUUGAGAUUUGCACGCCUUUGAUAUUUUGACGGGAAAAGAGCAUCACCACAAAACAAGCCGCUAGAGGAUUAAAGGAGAUUUAUCACCCAGAAGGGUUCUAGGUAUCAUGGUUAACUGAGGUUUACUCACUUCGGAGAGAAUGCCCCAGUGGGAGAAAAUGUAACCUGAUUGGUCUUGAAAGAGAAUGCCAGCCCAAAUAAGAAUAAACAAACAAACAAAUGGACAGAGAAUCUCAGGAGGAGAAUAGAAUUAACUGGAAGGACACCACCAGGGGAAUUUGACAAAGGGCCAACAAUGGAAUUGAUUAGAUUGCUACCUGGAACAGUGGGUAGGUAAGCAGAGAAACCAAGGUAGGGCAGGGGCAUGAUGUCUGAGCCAUGCCCUCCCUAGAGACCUCCUCUUUGCCCUAAUGGCUUAAAGUCAGGGCCAUUUCAGGAAGGACAGCAUCUCAAAUGCUCAUCUAGGGACUAUGAGCCCCUCAGAUCACCUCAGUCUUUAAAACCAACUGCAAAGGUGCAUCUCCUAAACCUGACUACUAAUCAUUCCUCACAGAGAAUGGAAUCUGGGAUUCUCUAGAACCUUCUACCUGAUGGAGGCCUUUCAGUGUUCUGUUUAGCCACAGAGCUGGUGCCUUUUCUGCUAGACCACCACCUAAUGAUUCCAGAGGACUCACUCCCCUAAACCAGUUACCCUCUCCCACAAGUACCCAGGGCCUUGCUAUCCACUUCUUGGAUGAAAAUAUUUGGAUCAGACUCAGACACCUUGACCCCGGUUCAGUUUUUCCUGGGGAGCGGCUGUGGCCCCCUCUGAUGCCCCCAGCUCAAUGCAUCACAGAAAGAAUUCCAGCCACUCAGCAACCUCUUGUGAUCUUCCAGGUGAGCAGGUUAACAAAUUAAAGAAUCAUUACCAUUACCAUUA
rnacentral:lncRNA from 1 species